rnacentral:rRNA from 1 species
UUUUUAUGGAGAGUUUGAUCCUGGCUCAGGAUGAACGCUGGCGGCGUGCCUAAUACAUGCAAGUCGAGCGAACAGACGAGGAGCUUGCUCCUCUG